rnacentral:lncRNA from 10 species
AUGUCUGGAAGGCUGUGGUCAAGGCCACUUUUGCUGGCUAUAAGCAGGGUCUCUUGAACCAAAGGGAGUACACAGCUCUUCUUAACAUUGAAGGCAUUUAUGCCUGAGAUGAAACUGAAUCCUAUUUGGGCAAGAGAUGCGCUUAUGCAUACAAAGCAAAGAACAGGACAGUGACUCCCGGCAGCAAACUGAACAAAACCAGAGUGAUGUGAGGAAAGGUAACUCAGACCCAUGGAAUUAUGGGCAUAGUUCAUGCCAAAUUCUGAAACAAUCUUCCUGCUAAGGCCACUGGACAAAGAUUCCAUGUGAUGUUAUACCCCUCUUAA